rnacentral:rRNA from 1 species
GACGAACGCUGGCGGCGUGCUUAACACAUGCAAGUCGAACGGAAAGGCCCUGCUUUUGUGGGGUGCUCGAGUGGCGAACGGGUGAGUAACACGUGAGUAACCUGCCCUUGACUUUGGGAUAACUUCAGGAAACUGGGGCUAAUACCGGAUAGGAGCUCCUGCUGCAUGGUGGGGGUUGGAAAGUUUCGGCGGUUGGGGAUGGACUCGCGGCUUAUCAGCUUGUUGGUGGGGUAGUGGCUUACCAAGGCUUUGACGGGUAGCCGGCCUGUGAGGGUGACCGGCGACAUUGGGACUGAGAUACGGCCCAGACGCCUACGGGAGGCAGCAGUGGGGAAUAUUGCAGAAUGGGCGGAAGCCUGAUGCAGCAACGCGGCGUGCGGGAUGACGGCCUUCGGGUUGUAAACCGAUUUCGCCUGUGACGAAGCGUGAGUGACGGUAAUGGGUAAAGAAGCACCGGCUAACUACGUG